GAAAUGCGAUAAGUAAUGUGGAUUGCAGAAUUCCGUGAAUCAUCGAAUCUUUGAACGCACAUUGCGCCCUCUGGCAUUCCGGGGGGCAUGCCUGUCCGAGCGUCAUUACGCACCCUCAAGCCCGGCUUGUGUGAUGGGCCCCGGCGUCUCGUUCGCGAGACGGGCCCGAAAGGCAGCGGCGGCGUCGACCCGAUGAGCCCGAGCGUAUGGGGACUUCUGUCACACGUUCGCGGUGCGGACCGGCGCCUGCUUUGACUUUUCUGAUUAUCCAGGUUGACCUCGGAUCAGGUAGGGAUACCCGCUGAACUUAAGC
rnacentral:misc_RNA from 1 species